rnacentral:sRNA from 1 species
UUUUUAAAAUUAUAUUUUAAUUGUUAAUUCUAGGAUUUGACCCAUAGUAUGCCAUCUCAUAUGAAUAUCGAUCCAAACUCGUUCCACUAUAUAACACCGUCCCGUGAAAUUAUACAUCAUUUUGUCAUUUUU